UUUACGUCCAUGUUAAUGCUGCGCUCAUUAGUUAAUUAUGAAACGUAGCUUCGCUUGUGGACGACAUCAAACCGCUUUUUUAUCCUGAUGGUUAAAAUCUAAUCAAUUUCUUUCGCAUCGAGAAACGAAAAGCUACAUAA
rnacentral:snoRNA from 1 species